GAUGGUUCAGGAAGUGUUCAUCUGUCUGGAGAAAAAUGGUCAUUAAGGAGCAACAAUAUCCCACCGUACACUCAUACUGACUUUUGACACGCUUAUUUGAUUUGCAGUUUGGCUCGGACUGAAUCAUCAGCAGGCUACGUGACAAUGUUCGCAAGCUGUUAUAUUGACGUUUACGAGGUUGAAACACAGAAUGAGGAAUUACAUGGACAAGAUACGGAUUUCGUUUCCCAGUGCUCGGGGAGAUGACUCUAUGAAACCACAGUGAUUCACAUGGUCUUUGGUGUGUGUGUGUUCAAGACAGAAUGGAAAAAGUGGGACCCUUAAGAUUCUGCAUACAGAAGACAUGCUGUUCUGCAAAAG